rnacentral:sRNA from 16 species
GUCACUCGCUCCCCAGCCCUCGGGCUGGCGCUUGUCUGUCACAGACAGAGAGGUCCAUGAGUGACCAGCCCGAGUCACCGCGUGGAGGAGGUGUGAUCGGUGACUACGUUUCAGGUGAGUGAGAAGACCCACCAGGCCGUGCUUCCUCAGCGGCCUGCUCUGGA